rnacentral:rRNA from 1 species
GUCUAUGGCCAUGCCACCCUGAACAAGCCCAAUCUUGUCUGAUCUCGGAAACUAAGCAGGAUCAGGCCUGGUUAGUACUUGGAUGGGAGACCACCUAGGAAGACCAGGCGCUAUAGGCA